GGUGAGCGGCAGUAGCCGGUUAUGACGACUCCCUCCUCUGGAACAGCCGCCGUCUCCUCCGCCUCCUCCUCGGUAGUUCACGGCUGCCCCGGCUCCAGGCCUGUGGAAAUCGAAUCAAGGGUUUCUGGAGUGGAGUGAUUCCAGCUGCUUUGAGCUGAAGGAAAAGUAGCCUGGCCAGUAAAGCGUCCGUGUGCUGGAGGAGUGCAGCCACCCAUCCCGGCGGGCCUUGCAGGACGACCGACACCAGGAAGGCUUUGUGCCAGGCCCAGCAGCCACCCCCAGCCGCCUUAUGCAAGUUUUAGAGACCUGAAACAUCACAGAAGCUUCUGAGUGGUUCUGAAGAUUCAAGAGGUUUGCAGGUUGCUAUGUUAAUGUUGUUUGUCUUUGGAGUCUUACUUCAUGAAGUCUCACUGAGUGGUCAGAAUGAAGCUCCUCCUAAUACUCACAGCAUUCCAGGCGAACCUCUGUAUAACUAUGCCAGCAUCCGCUUGCCAGAGGAGCACAUUCCCUUCUUUUUGCACAACAAUAGGCAUAUUGCCACUGUCUGUAGGAAAGACUCUCUUUGUCCAUAUAAGAAACACCUAGAGAAGCUAAAGUACUGCUGGGGUUAUGAGAAAUCCUGCAAACCAGAGUUCAGGUUUGGUUACCCAGUUUGCAGCUAUGUCGACAUGGGAUGGACGGACACUCUUGAGUCAGCUGAGGACAUAUUUUGGAAACAAGCUGACUUUGGAUAUGC
rnacentral:lncRNA from 1 species